rnacentral:rRNA from 5 species
GUCAGCGGCCAUUGGAGAGGGGCAUACGCUCGUUCCCGUUCCGAACACGAAAGCAAAGCCCUCUUACGACCGUGCGAGUACUGCCCUACGGGCGGGAAAGCUGGUUGCUGCUGCCA